CACUCUGGGUCUGUAAGCUAUACAAUCAUGGGAAGAUUGCUGACUGGACAGAUGUUCAGAAGACAGUCAUCGACACCCAUCACAAGGAGGGUAAGCCAUAAAAGGUGGCUGCUGCUGAAUAAACAUGAGGGAGUCACUGCCAACUGAGCUUACCCUGAACUGGAUAUCCUGCAGUGCAGAGUGAAUAGAAGCAGCUCUCCCGCUGAAAACAUCUGGUGCUGCAGCUGAAAGCAACGUAACAAGAUAUGUGAGAGGGAAUAGACUGCAAAGUUCAAGGUGCAAAUCGAAGGAAACAAAGCUGGAAAAAAACAGACAAGAUAUGUUUCUCCUUACUGUAGAUUAGUCUAUACAAGCAUCAGUAUUUUCAUUUUCUCAUUUUAUAUUUUGUAAAGGCCCAAGAGAGGAUCUUAUGCCAGUUUAUACUGUGUUUUUGAAUCAGAUAAUUUAGAAGAGUAUGCUUUUGAUUUGAAAAGUUCUCUAAAACUCUGUAACUUUAACAUUUGUGUAAACUCAGCUAAAAAAGAACACCUAACGUUUCGUUGCUGCUGGUAACCGAGUGGUUAAAGGCCCCAUUUAAAAAUGGAAUUUUGUCUAAUUUUAUAUUGUGUGUAGAAACAACUGUGGUUUAUUUCUUGAGUUAUGUGGUGUUUCUAUGUUUAAAUACUAUUUAAUAACUAUAAUGACUGGGACAAAAACUGUUUUUCAACAAAAUAGUUUGAGUUCCUGUUAGACUGGAAAAUGUUUCCACAUUAAAAUAAAUUAGCAAUGGAUCAAGUAAACUACUGUAUGUUUGUGUGUGCUAAAAGCUCGGAAUAAGUAUUUUCUAAUCAAUCAUUCCUUUUUAAAAACUGUAUGUAGAACAGACAUGAACAGGCAGGAAUAAACGGCGAUGUGUUUUAAAUAAAUCUACAUCUGUAGAGCGAGGCAAGGAUGCUAGAACUAAUUAAACUUUUAUGGAUAGCAGCAAAAGAAGAUUAGAGGAUGUCAUCAAUGCUGAGUCACUGAAGCUACCUUGUCUUCUAAAAACAUUCAUGGUUACAUAAGAAAAGUCAGUGCAAUGUAUGCCAGCUGUGAAGGCAGUCAGCAGUAGUGGGGCUAGAUGAGUGGGAGAGUUGUGAAGCUGGCUGGCUGCUGCCAAUAGCAAGCAAGUAUCUGGUGUGUGUGAAUGUUUGUGUGUUUGUGCUUUACUGCUCAUGUAUUUAAUGUACAAUUAAAUUAUA